AUCGGCGGUUGGGCAGCGUUGGGUAAGCUUGGUUUUAAAGGAGCCGGAGGUGGGAGCUGCGGAAGACCCGGGAUCCACGGGAGGCGGCGGCCGCAGCCUGGGAUUCCCCAGGGACCCCCCGGAGCCGCCGCGUCUCCCAUGGACUUGCCCGGGGACUCCAGCCCGCCUGGCCAGCCGCGUCUGUGCCGCCAGCCUCUGACUCGAGCAUUAUGGGGAGCCAGGAGCCCGAAACGGCCGAGGCUGCAGCUCCCGGGGGCCCCUUCUCCCCUGGAAAAGGCCUCUCGGCGGGUCCUGGCCGUGGUGCUAGAAGAUGUCAUGGCUGUUCACAGGGUCCCCGUGGUGCCCUCAAAGGAGACCUCCAUACCACAGCACCACAGCUACCGUCAGGAUCCUGUCCACAGGCAGCCGCCUGCCUCGCCACCCCGGCAGGCCGGGUGGUCCUCGCAGGCCAGGUGAGCAUGGCAGGAUGGGGGUAAGCCGAGGGCCCAGCUGAGCCAUUUUAAUCUUCCUGUUCCCUCGCUAGGCCUCCCGACCCUCUGUGUUUGUGUCGCG
rnacentral:sRNA from 1 species